GACAUAGGGUGCAAGCGUUGUCCGGAAUUAUUGGGCGUAAAGAGCUCGUAGGCGGUUUGUUGCGUCGGCUGUGAAAUCCCGAGGCUCAACCUCGGGUCUGCAGUCGAUACGAGCAAACUAGAGUGUUGCAGGGGAGACUGGAAUUCCUGGUGUAGCGGUGAAAUGCGCAGAUAUCAGGAGGAACACCGGUGGCGAAGGCGGGUCUCUGGGCCGAUACUGACGCUGAGGAGCGAAAGCGUGGGGAGCGAACAGG
rnacentral:rRNA from 1 species